CGGCGGAACACGUGAAAUUCCGUCGGAAUCCGGGAGGACCAUCUCCCAAGGCUAAAUACUCCCUAGUGACCGAUAGUGAACCAGUACCGUGAGGGAAAGGUGAAAAGCACCCCGGAAGGGGAGUGAAACAGUUCCUGAAACCGUGUGCCUACAAGUAGUUAGAGCCCGUUAAUGGGUGAUAGCGUGCCUUUUGUAGAAUGAACCGGCGAGUUACGAUUUGUUGCAAGGUUAAGCGGAAAAAGCGGAGCCGUAGCGAAAGCGAGUCUGAAUAGGGCGCAUAAGUAACAGGUCGUAGACCCGAAACCAGGUGAUCUACCCAUGUCCAGGAUGAAGGUAAGGUAAUACUUACUGGAGGUCCGAACCCACGCACGUUGAAAAGUGCGGGGAUGAGGUGUGGGUAGCGGAGAAAUUCCAAUCGAACUUGGAGAUAGCUGGUUCUCUCCGAAAUAGCUUUAGGGCUAGCCUCGAGGUAAAGAGUCAUGGAGGUAGAGCACUGUUUGGACUAGGGGCCCUUCUCGGGUUACCGAAUUCAGAUAAACUCCGAAUGCCAUGUACUUAUACUCGGGAGUCAGACUGCGAGUGAUAAGAUCCGUAGUCGAAAGGGAAACAGCCCAGACCACCAGUUAAGGUCCCCAAAUAUAUGUUAAGUGGAAAAGGAUGUGGGGUUGCUUAGACAACCAGGAUGUUGGCUUAGAAGCAGCCACCAUUGAAAGAGUGCGUAAUAGCUCACUGGUCGAGUGACCCCGCGCCGAAAAUGUACCGGGGCUAAACAUAUUACCGAAACUGUGGAUGAACCUCUUUAGAGGUUCGUGGUAGGAGAGCGUUCUAAGGGCGGUGAAGUCAGACCGGAAGGACUGGUGGAGCGCUUAGAAGUGAGAAUGCCGGUAUGAGUAGCGAAAGAAGGGUGAGAAUCCCUUCCACCGAAUAUCUAAGGUUUCCUGAGGAAGGCUCGUCCGCUCAGGGUUAGUCGGGACCUAAGCCGAGGCCGAUAGGCGUAGGCGAUGGACAACAGGUAGAGAUUCCUGUACCAGUGCUAAUUGUUUAACCGAUGGGGUGACACAGAAGGAUAGGGAAUCGCACGAAUGGAAAUGUGCGUCCAAGCAGUGAGUGUGAGAAGUAGGCAAAUCCGCUUCUC
rnacentral:rRNA from 1 species